GCCCUGACGAGGUGGGGGCAGGGAGCUCUGCUUUUCGGUGGCAGGUCUGGGGAAGGGGCGGCAGGCGCCAUGUCGGGCCGCGAAGGUGGCAAGAAGAAGCCCCUGAAACAACCCAAGAAGCAGAACAAGGAGAUGGACGAGGAAGAUAAGGCUUUCAAGCAGAAACAGAAGGAAGAACAAAAGAAACUGGAGGAGCUAAAGGCGAAGGCCGCGGGGAAGGGGCCCCUGGGUAAGUGAGGAAGGGUCCAG